GCCGGGCACGGUGGUGGGUGCCUGUAGUUCCAGCUACUCGGGAGGCUGAGGUGGGAGGAUUGCUUGAGCCCAGGAGUUCUGGGUUGUAGUGUGUUAUGCUGAUCGGGUGUCCGCACUAAGUUCGGCAUCAAUAUGGUGACCUCCAGGGAGCAGGGGACCACCAUGUUGGCUAAGGAGAGGUGAAUUGGCCCAGGUCGGAAAUGGAGCAGGUCAAAACUCCAGUGCUGAUCAGUAGCGGGGAUAGCUACUGCACUCCAGCUUGGGCAACUUAGCGAGAGCCUGUCCCU
rnacentral:SRP_RNA from 1 species